GAACGUUAAGGAUUUUUUGAAGAAUUAUGGCUGGACCCUAGUAUUGGGUUUCCUACUUAUCUCAGAUUACAUGAGAACUCAAGCCACUAGUAGUUCGAAAAGCUUGAUUUUAAGCACGAUUUUCAAAGAAUUCCAAAAGCUAUUUCGGUGUCGAAGUAUGGAGAGACCGAAAAGCUCGAGAAUGGAGUGAGAAGUGGUUUAUUGGAAUACAGUCGAGUUUUCAACACCGAACCCGCCUACACAUUCCUAAACUUUGAAAUCAGACUAUUUGUAGUUCGACUCAAUCAGUUGAAAAGGAAAUCUCAUAUGCAAAAAUCCCUUUAGCUCAAGGAUGAGGGACAAAUGAAAUGAGUGUGGAAAAGAGGCUUGCAAACAUCUCAACUAUGAAAACGGGGCCCUUCACACUCAUAGGUAAGAACUUACAUGGACAUAACUUCCAAAGCUCUAGGUGUAUUGUCACUCGAAUUUGAAAAUUUGCAUUCGGUGAGAGUUGAAAAUUUCACAGAGGGCAAAACUGAAACUAUUAAACCUAAGAAAAACCCACACUCCUAAUGAUUGGGAUGUGGUUUGAUUGUGGUGGAAGUCGCUCCUCAAC
rnacentral:lncRNA from 1 species